rnacentral:rRNA from 1 species
GACGAACCGUGCGACCGUUAUUCGGAAUCAUUGGGCUUAAAGGGCGCGUAGGCGGCGGUGUAAGUUGGAAGUGAAAUCCCAUCGGCUCAACCGUGGAAUCGCUCCCAGUACUGCAUCGCUCGAGGGGGAUAGGGGUCUGCGGAACUACCGGUGGAGCGGUGAAAUGUGUUGAUAUCGGUGGGAACGCCAGUGGCGAAAGCGGCAGACUUGACCCUUCCUGACGCUGAGGCGGGAAAGCUAGGGGAGCAAACGGG